AACCUAACCAACUCCUCUCUCGGGCACGCGGGCGUUUCCUCUUCGAAUGGCUUGUUCGAACUGUUUCACAUCCUUGCGCUGCCGCAUUCCUAUCUCUUCUUCCCUUCAAUCACUCGCUAUCAGAUCCAGAUCCGCUGCGUCAUCUGCUUACUUCGCCGUCGGCGCACCGGCGCCCUGCCCGAUCCCCCGCGUUUCAUUGCUCUCUGCACUUCCAGUGGAAUUGAGGAGCUGCGGCGGGUCUCUGUUCCCGUUACACAGCGCGGUGGCGGUAGAGAGGCUGACAACGCGUGUGAGGACGACGUACUGCAGCGACCGAUCUCUCGCACAGGGUAUCCUCUGCCGCACCUCACCUGGACCUUAGUGUUGUUCUCUCACUUUCGCCUAAACGUGGUGAUCGCUGCUCUUUGCUUUCUUAAAUGAUGAAAAACGUUCACCUCGCUUGGGAUUCAUCUUGGCAACUCGCAUUGGAGUUCAUCUUGGCAGCCUAAAUUGGAGUUUACGUCAACAACCCACCUUGGUGUUCACCUCGACAACUGACCCUGGAGUUCACCUCGACAACUGACUUUGGAGUUCACCUUUGCAACCCACCUUGGAAUUCGCCUUUGCACCCACCCUGGAGGUCACCUCAAAAACCCACUUCGGAGUUCACCUUGGCAACCCACUGUGACUGACUAACUCAUCUGGUUUUCAUUUCAGCCUGGCUUCACUUGCCAAUCAACCAUCUCUACCUUGGCCCAUCUUUUCAUUGAUAUUCCUCCAGUUCAACCCUACAAUAAGUCAUCUCUAACGAUGAGGUCAGAAGACUCACAUCAACUGAUAAGUUAGACCAUUUUAGAAUUCAUUUCCAUGUGAAAUUAAAACCAACUUCUGUGAUGAAAUGACAUCUAGGAUGGUUGAAAGAAAAAUGGGAACAGAAGGAUUUCCAAGACUCACAUCAUCUGCAUUUUGUAUAUGCAUUCUGAGCAUUUGAUAAAAAAAUGCUUAUAUGCAUGGUCAUUGUUAUCAUCUUAAAUGAAAUCCAAUUUCAUCUGCUAUGUCAGUCUAUAGUUGUAUACCAUGUUUAUUUUGUAAAUUGCGUCGUCUUUUGAUUUUGAUAUCUAAAUUGACAUGAAUUUACAUUAUUCAUAAUGCUAAAGCUUCACUUAAACAUGUGCCAAAUUAGGUUUGAAGCACUAC